AAUGCAGUCGAGCGGACAGAUGGGAGCUUGCUCCCUGAUGUUAGCGGCGGACGGGUGAGUAACACGUGGGUAACCUGCCUGUAAGACUGGGAUAACUCCGGGAAACCGGGGCUAAUACCGGAUGCUUGUUUGAACCGCAUGGUUCAAACAUAAAAGGUGGCUUCGGCUACCACUUACAGAUGGACCCGCGGCGCAUUAGCUAGUUGGUGAGGUAAUGGCUCACCAAGGCAACGAUGCGUAGCCGACCUGAGAGGGUGAUCGGCCACACUGGGACUGAGACACGGCCCAGACUCCUACGGGAGGCAGCAGUAGGGAAUCUUCCGCAAUGGACGAAAGUCUGACGGAGCAACGCCGCGUGAGUGAUGAAGGUUUUCGGAUCGUAAAGCUCUGUUGUUAGGGAAGAACAAGUGCCGUUCAAAUAGGGCGGCACCUUGACGGUACCUAACCAGAAAGCCACGGCUAACUACGUGCCAGCAGCCGCGGUAAUACGUAGGUGGCAAGCGUUGUCCGGAAUUAUUGGGCGUAAAGGGCUCGCAGGCGGUUUCUUAAGUCUGAUGUGAAAGCCCCCGGCUCAACCGGGGAGGGUCAUUGGAAACUGGGGAACUUGAGUGCAGAAGAGGAGAGUGGAAUUCCACGUGUAGCGGUGAAAUGC
rnacentral:rRNA from 1 species